rnacentral:rRNA from 1 species
UACGUAGGGGGCAAGCGUUGUCCGGAUUCAUUGGGCGUAAAGCGCGGGCAGGCGGCCCGCUCAGUCGGCCGUGAAAGCGCCGGGCUCAACUCGGCGAGGUCGGGCGAUACUGGCGGGCUCGAGGCUGGUAGAGGGCGGUGGAAUUCCGGGUGUAGUGGUGGAAUGCGUAGAGCUCCGGAGGAACACCAGUGGCGAGGACGG